AAGCUGCGAUAAGCUGCGGGUAGGCGCAUGUAUGCCUAAGAUCCGCAGAUGGCUGAAUAGGACUUCCUGUUUCUUCGGAAACGGUCGCGUUAGCGAUAGGGAACCCACCGAAUUGAAGCAUCUUAGUAGGUGGAGGAAAUGAAAUCAAUUGAGAUUCCGUUAGU
rnacentral:rRNA from 2 species